UCAAAUUUGAAAUCUGGCCCCUCUGGGGGUCCGAGUUGUAAUUUGCAGAGGACACUUCGGGUGCGGUCGUGGUCUAAGUCCCCUGGAACGGGGCGUCGGAGAGGGUGAGAAUCCCGUCUGGGACCGUGGACCUGCCCCGUGUGAAGUUCCUUCGACGAGUCGAGUUGUUUGGGAAUGCAGCUCUAAGUGGGUGGUAAAUUUCAUCUAAAGCUAAAUACCGGCGGGAGACCGAUAGCGCACAAGUAGAGUGAUCGAAAGGUUAAAAGCACCUUGAAAAGGGAGUUAAACAGCACGUGAAAUUGUUGAAAGGGAAGCGCUGGCAGCCAGACAGGGACCCGGGGGCUCAGCGGGCAUGCGUGCCCGUGCACUCCCCCGCGGUCCCGGCCAGCAUCGGUUUCGGCGGCCGGUCAAAGGCCCCGGGAAGGUAUCGUCCUCCGGGACGACUUACAGCCCGGGGUGCAAUGCGGCCAGUCGG
rnacentral:rRNA from 1 species